UUGACGGCUGUGGAGAAUGAAGUCUUUUAUUUAGUCAUAGAACUGGUACUGUAUGGGCAGCACUGGUGCAAGCUUUCCACACUCACCAAUGUGCUUCAGCCAUGAUGCGGAGGGAGUAGCUAUGGGGACACAAAGGCAAUGCAGUCGCCAUGUACAUUUGGUCCUUGGCCUCU
rnacentral:sRNA from 1 species